ensembl:lncRNA
UGAAAGGAUUUUCCUGGGGAGAAAGAUCUGGACCCUAAUUAAUGGGGAUGGACAGUGAGUUGGUCUCCUGCCCUCUGGUCUGCAGCAUGGGACAGCUGGACGGGGCCAUGCGAGGUGUGAUGGGACGCGUGGCAUGGCUCACCCCCAGCCUCCAGAUCCUAGGAGGAGCCUUACCCAUCAUUCGUUCCAUUGUUUCUCUCAGUGUGUGCUACCCAACCUGCUCAGGACACCCAGAUGACACUGGGGAACAGACCUCGUGCCACACCUGGCUGGUUGCCCCUGCGCUGGCGGUGCUUUCUGGUGGUCCCCAGCUCUCAAAGACGUGCAACUCACUCCAGGCAGUGCUGUGCAGGCGGAGGGAGCCAGAAUUCUCCCUCCCCAAAUCCCUGCACCUAUGCACAGCUUGGGCACGGCUGCACCAUCCACAUCCCACACAGCUGCUUCAGGACUUCGGUGUCUCCCUGGCCGGCUCACCCAGCGCAUGAAAAAAAAUAUAUAUGUAGACUGGUUUGCUGUUUGCAAACUGGACCUGCUUUUUUGUGAAUGGAUUCAUUCACCAUCUGCCUGAAAGAGCCAUUUUAGCCAAUGCUCUGCCUGCGAGCGCGUCCUCCCCACCAGCCGUGAUUUGCUCUCCCUCGCUCUGCCUCUCGGAUUGGGCUCCUGGGUGCCACGUGAUGGGCUCCCUUCUCCUUGACGGCACAUCUGACGUUUUUAAGCAGAAUAACAAGCAGCUAACACCGAGGAGCAGCCAUGCCUCCUGGGUGGCAUUGCUGUUAGUGUUUGCUUUCAGUCAUCAGAGGGGAGGGAGGCUCGUGGGCACAUUUGCAGAGGAACUGCUGCCUUUGGGGUGGCUGAGGGUGAAGCCCCAGAGAACCCCUUUGCUGGUGGAGGGGUCUGUGCACAGCUCUGCCUAGGAGCAACUGGGCACGUGGUUGGGUUUGCUGCACGUGGAGACACAGGGAGUGAUGGAGCACGGUGGAGCAGGGAGGAGGAACACGGCCUGCGAUGGGUCUUGAGCAGCAGGAGCAGAGCCCACACCCUUGAACCUGACAGCCCAGGAGAGAUGGUGGGAGAAGAGCCCACCGCUGCCUGCUCCCAUGGGGCACGGAUGUGUCAGUGCUGGCUGCUGCCUGCUGUCGUGGGAAUUGAGAAAAUCCCUGUUUAGCCUCAGCUUGAAAGUUCAAAGGAGGCCAAUUAUUGCCAGCAGACUUGCUUGCCUGCUCUUCUAGGAAUGACAAAUGAUGGGCUUAGGUCAUCACCCAGCCUGAGCCGGGUAUCUCAGGAGCUGGCUUUAGGGGCCUGUGAGCCCCAGCCCUGUGAAUUCAGGCCAGCUUGGCAGAGCCAUAAUGCCAACAGAGGUGGUGUUCCUAGAGUACAGCCAUAGGCAGAGCAAGGUCUGCCCAGAGCUGAGCUAAAGGGGGUGAGUUGGCACAGGUAAGUGGGGUGAGAUAACCUUGGGAAACAGAGACAGAAGAGUUAACCUGCUGUGGUGCCAAAGCCAAAUAGGAUGUGAAAAGCAAAGAGAGAAGUCCUCUGGGCCACUGAUUCAAAUGUCAGAAGACAUCCUGAGCUCUCACUGUCUCUCACCUGGCAAAC